GACGAACGCUGGCGGCGUGCUUAACACAUGCAGGUCGAGCGGUAAGGCCCUUUCGGGGGUACACGAGCGGCGAACGGGUGAGUAACACGUGGGUGACCUGCCCUCAGCUCUGGGAUAAGCCUGGGAAACCGGGUCUAAUACUGGAUAUGACUCCAUGACGCAUGUUGUGGGGUGGAAAGCCUUGUGCGGCUGAGGAUGGGCCCGCGGCCUAUCAGCUUGUUGGUGGGGUGANGGCCUACCAAGGCGACGACGGGUAGCCGGCCUGAGAGGGCGACCGGCCACACUGGGACUGAGACACGGCCAGACUCCUACGGGAGGCAGCAGUGGGGAAUCUUGCGCAAUGGGCGAAAGCCUGACGCAGCGACGCCGCGUGAGGGAUGACGGCCUCGG
rnacentral:rRNA from 1 species